CUCGAUUAAUAUAAAUUCAAUUAAGUGUAUUACAAGCACACACACAGAAAAAAAUAAUCAAAAACUCAUCAUAACACCCAACACAUAGUAAUUAGCUUAAACACUGAGAAACAUUUACAUAAAACUUAAGUCAUAUUAGCCUAAACCAUUAAAUCAAUUGGUCACACAGAAGUCAAAUGAAUCAAUUAAACAAAGAAAAGAUACCCCAACAUUGUUACUUGCCUUGCUAUUGCUGCUCAUCUCACUCAAAUGUUAUGUUUACAAAUGAUGCUAACCGUAUUGCUCAAAUAUCCCCUGUGAAGACUGAUCAAAUUUUAGUCAAUGGGCACUCCUUGCUGCUUUAACAGAGUGGCUUCUCCUGUACUUCAUUCUCAUAUGCUUUCUUCAAGUCCUCUGAAGCUACAGGUGUUGGAACAUAUACAUUCAAGCUUGAAAUCUCUCAUAUUGCAUCAAAAUACAAGGCAUUAUCCAUGAUCUUACACAACAUCAGGAUAUACCCAAGAGAAAACAUGUACGAAAGGGAAGUACCGCCCUACCAAAGCUUCUAAUUUUGUAGUGCUGCCAGGGCGUAGAUUCUUUUCCAGCACUGGCCAACCAAAGAGCAACAAUAACAGCCUAAGAAAAAACAUGUUUACUCGAUAGCAGUCCACUGUAAAUAGAAACAGAAAGCUAUGACUGUAAAAAGUAAAAACUCAUGUAUUUCUACACUUUAGUCUUUAGUUGUAUCCAUGGCUUUAAACUCCACGACGUAUGCAAAACUGAUUGCUCAAGAAAUCCCUUCAGAAUCUAGAAAAAACAUCCUAAGCAUGCUAUAAACACGAAGAAUAAUUUCUUGGCAUGUUUGCAACUGAAAAUAGACAUCAUCAGGCCUAGAUAAACACUCAAUUCAAAAUUACGCAGAUGGCAAAUACCUAGGAAAUAAAUUUAAUGAAGAUUGUUACUACGUCAAUAAGCUGUCCAUUCAGAAAAUCGACAAGCAUCAGCCAACCCAGGACCUGCAAAUCAUCAUGUCAUUUCUGAUCAAGAAGAGUGCAAACAAUACUUAGCGUGCUUGUUGCCAGUAAUGGCCUGACAAGAAUGAUUCAAUCAAUCUAUUAGCCAAGAUUAGUCCUGAAUGCAUUACUGGAUGAACAGAAAGGUUGCACUUAUGUAUGCUCCUUGCAUGAACGCAGAAGUUUCCUAUAGAUGCAUGGUGGAGAACAACUUUGGCUAAGGUGAAAGUCUCAUUAGUACAAAUUCGGAGUAAAAUUACUCAGAUAGGAAUCUUGUCAUCUUGCCACAGUAAAAAAGAACAAAAAUUCUUGCAUGUUUAAUAUGUGAUAUCGUAAAAAGAAAUCUAUGAAGUGCAGAAAAUCAUAUAUGAUACCAUAAAUUGGCCCAGCUGAAAAUUCAGGGGAGACCAUUAUCUAACAAGCCAGGCUUCAAGCCAAUAUCCCUCUGUAGAAAUAUUCAUCCUGGUGCUACACUUAAGAACCAAGGUCAGGAAUGAAAUGACCCCAUGAUGAAAAGGUUAUAGCAAUAACAAUGCUUUGUUGCUAGGAAUCGGCAGGAAUAACAACAGAAAGUGAACAAUGAGCUAGAAAGCAGUACUUUAGCCUUGGGUAAAAUAAAGUAAUUAAACAAAAUAAUUGGUGAUAGUGAGUGGAUGAUUGAAUGCACUGCAUUAUUAACAACUCAUAAUAUUAUCUAGUAAAUUGUUAAAGAGCACAUAAACAGGCAGGAUUAUAUUAAUGCCUGAAAGCAAAAGAAAGAACCUUGGUUUAAGAGCCUGGUAUAGAAGGGAAGAACUUGAAGGAACGGGGCAUUUUUUUGCCUCGCGGCAAGCAACUCAGCCAUAUAUCUGGCGGACAAAAAAGCAUUACUGUAUUAGUAUAACACAAGUCACUCUAACUCUAUUGUUUUUUUUUUUGACCGGGUCUCUAACUCUAUUGUUGUUUGUACAAAUAGAACUGUAAGCUGAAGAGUAAAAAUACUCUACUUAUAUCAUUCUAAGAUUGACUUAUAUCAUUCUAAGAUUAAUUUUCUGAAGAUGACUCCCCUGCAACCCAAUUUAUUGACACUCAAUUAAGAGAUGUGUGGCAUAUACAUAACAAAAUUAACACAAAAUUACAGAAGGGUACAUCCAAGCUAAUUGAAUUACUACUCACAAAAGAACUAUUAGCUCUUUCUAUGUAUUAACAAUUGUUUGUAUCCAGUUUGUUCUAACCUGUAAUAUGCCAUGAAACAAACUUAUCGUGGUCUACCUCGAGAAUAAGAUUAAACAGAUUCCAACUAACUUAAGAAAGAGAAAGGUAUAUGCCUCCUUGGUAAAUCUGAUAUGAAUUGCUUUGCAUUACUAUAUUGUCGGAGAAAUCAAUGGUUUGAAGUCAAAAUGAUUGAUCGGUUCUGAGAUAUACCUUUUUAUUCACAUGAGUAUCAUCAUGAGAUUCAUAGAACACCUUGUUGGUAGUCAGCAUGAAGAAAGUAAGUGCUGCCAUCCUAUGCAUUUGUAACUGAUCAAAAUGGAGGGGGGUGGGGGUGAAAAACAACAAAUGCACAUGAGAUUUGAAUGACAUGGCUGAAUUUGUUUUCGCCAACUCCAUCUCUAGGUGCAAUAACAAUCAGUCAAGGGGCUCGACUAAGAGCAUAUAAGAGACAAUAUAAAUACCAUAAUUUGGCAGACAUACCUGUAAAAGAUAAUACGUUCAGGAUCAUGUUUCAAUCAUGUUCCCUGGAU
rnacentral:lncRNA from 1 species